UAGUUAUAAUUUCACUUUUUAAACUGUCAGUUUCACUGAAUUUAACUUUUUCUUCAUUCUUAAUCAAGUUUUCUUCUGUAUUGCCCUCAUCAGGAGGCAUUUUGGAAGUUUGCUUUUUUGCCAAUUAGAUAAUCACUACGAAAAAUUGAGCAUUGAGGUAGGUUGCACUUUUAGUUAUAGCUGCAUAUCAACAAUUUGUAUUCAUUAUCCUACUCAAAGGACAAUUAAUUAGGCUUUUGUAAAUAAAAAGUAAUUUGCGGUUUGUUUUUGUAGUCUUUAGUCUAAUUAUUUGCUAAUUAUCCAUUGUUUUGUUAUUAACUUUUGUUUAUUUUUGGAAAUGACAUAACUUUUAGUGUUACUACAAAUAAAUAAAAAUCAACUUUUAGUUCUCGAUUUUUAAAAACCGAUAUUAUUUACUGUGCUAUGUGAGAGACGUUAUGAUUUUGUAUAUUGAUUUAUUUGACUGACUUGCAGAAAAUUAGUAGUUCUUAAUUCAAAACAAAACUUAACUUUGAAGGCAACUUUGACCGAAAUCAUUUCUCUCAAAUUUCUCUCGCAAAGACCAAGCCAAGCAAGUAUUCAUUCUCUCGUUGUUGAUUGGUGGAAACAAAUACCCCUCGAUUCUUCCAUUCGUUCAUCCAUCCAUUGAAUCCAUUCAUUCUCCAUCCAUGCACAGAUUCAAAUCGUUCAAUUAAUUUGUUUUGAUUAUCCCGCAGACACGGUGGUCGUAUUAUGUUUUUAGUUUUUGCACCAUAAAUCCAAAAAGAAAACUUAUUGUUACGUAAAUAUUUUUGCAAACACGAGUGUGAAAAUAAUCUUUUAUUUCGUUACUCUUGACUUUAUAGUGAGUGGGAUACUGCUGACAUGCCGUUUACAAUGUAAUCUCUUGGCUAAUACAAAUAAAUAUCGUAUACACUUUAUGCUGAUAACAGUGAUAUACAUUAUGAGUUAUGACUCAUAUACCACAUUGGGUUAAUGGCAUGCACACUCUGAACAACUGAAUAUGCAGAAGUUCGUCGUUGCGCAAAACAAGAAAGAAACGAAACUGUAUUUCCAAACCUGUUUUGAGCAAAAAUUUAUGAUAGUACCUACCAUUUAUCGGCGUGGAAUGUGAAAAAUAAUAUAAUGUAAAGUGCCAGUGUCCUUAAAAAAUGUCACUGGCAUACAAUUAAGCCAGAAAGGCAACUAUAAGCUAAAAAAACUUCAUAGAAAAUCGCUCAGUAAAAGUAUAAAGACAAUAAAACAGAACCAUGACAGAAGGAGGGACGAUUCCACUUCAAACACCACCGCCGAAUUAUAACGAGGCUAUCUUCGAUAAAGAACCAAACCCGCCUUCAUAUAGUGCCGUAGUCACUAGCCAACCCUCUAUCGAUGCCGGCACAAAUAUACCAGAAAGAACCGUGCCACAAACACAAACAUACGAAGAACAGGAAAACUGUUGUCUCUCGUGCCUAGUCUGUUUAUUUGCACGCCCGAUAAAUGCCAUAUGUGACUGCAUAUCUCAAUGUUGGAAUUGCUGUUGUGAUGAUGGAGAUUGUGGCAAUUCCAACUACAGAAGAAGGCAGUAUAGCACUCGCAACAACAGUGACGUGAAUGACGAUCAGUACUACAAUGAUACAGGCUCAGGGGGAGAUUUUUGCUGGUUGUGUGUCGAUACUGGGGAUAACGGGGGGCAAGAUGGCGAUUUUUGGGGAGGAGGAGGCGGGGAUGACGGAAGGCAAGAUGGGGAUUGUUGGGGAGG
rnacentral:misc_RNA from 1 species